rnacentral:rRNA from 1 species
CACGUAGGGGGCGAGCGUUGUCCGGAAUUAUUGGGCGUAAAGAGCUCGUAGGCGGUUCGGUAAGUCGGGUGUGAAAACUCAGGGCUCAACCCUGAGACGCCACCCGAUACUGCUGUGACUAGAGUCCGGUAGGGGAGCGUGGAAUUCCUGGUGUAGCGGUGAAAUGCGCAGAUAUCAGGAGGAACACCAGCGGCGAAGGCGGCGCUCUGGGCCGGUACUGACGCUGAGGAGCGAAAGCGUGGGGAGCAAA